GCCCAUCUGAGCUUUCAUUUUCUCAACGGCAGAGCAGGAUACCCAGGGCUCGGUUUACAGCUAUCACCAUUACUAGCCACUGGGGGGCCAUAGUGACAUUUUCAUGCCAUGGGACCUUUAAGUAUAAACACUGUCCAGCCCUACUUACUUGCAGAGAAACAAUUAAGAUCCCAACAUUGUAUUCGCUUUAUAAUAAUAAUAAUAAUAAUAAGUUUUGUUCACAUGGCACUUUUUAAAACCGUGUUACUGAGUGCUUGGGACAAGUAACAGGGUUAAAAAAAAUCUAAUAAAGUCUUUUUUUU